UACGAAGGGGGCUAGCGUUGCUCGGAAUCACUGGGCGUAAAGCGCACGUAGGCGGAUUGCUAAGUCAGGGGUGAAAUCCUGGAGCUCAACUCCAGAACUGCCCUUGAUACUGGCGGUCUCGAGUCCGGGAGAGGUGAGUGGAACUGCGAGUGUAGAGGUGAAAUUCGUAGAUAUUCGCAAGAACACCAGUGGCGAAGGCGGCUCACUGGCCCGGUACUGACGCUGAGGUGCGAAAGCGUGAGGAGCAAACAGG
rnacentral:rRNA from 1 species